rnacentral:rRNA from 1 species
AUACGGAAGGUCCGGGCGUUAUCCGGAUUUAUUGGGUUUAAAGGGAGCGCAGGCGGAGAUGCAAGCGUGACGUCAAAUUUCGGGGCUCAACCCCGUCUCGCGUCGCGAACUGCGUCCCUUGGUUGCGGGAAGGGGAGGCGGAACUCGUGGUGUAGCGGUGAAAUGCAUAGAUAUCACGAAGAACUCCGAUCGCGAAGGCAGCCUUCCGGCCCGUCAACGACGCUCAUGCUUGAAGGUGCGGGUAUCAAACAGGAUUAGAUACCCUGGUAGUCCGCACAGUAAACGAUGGACACCCGCGGUUUGGCCUGUAUGGCUGAGCCGCCAAGCGAAAGCGUUAAGUGUCCCACCUGGGGAGUACGCCGGCAACGGUGAAACUCAAAUGAAUUGACGGGG